UAGGUAGAGAUUCUAGUCUCCUCUUGUAUGAAACCAAAUUUUGUUAAUAUUUAAAACAUUGGGUGAAACUUUUUUUUGUCUUUCCAAAAUCCAAAUUAGGAGCGCAACAAAACCAAUUUUUGCAUUUAAUCAUUGGUCUACUUCAUCCUCUAUUUUAUCAAAAUGUUCUCAAAUUAUAAAAAUUUCAAGUGGUAGCAUCAGGAGAGUUUCUAAAUUGGGCCUGCAAAUUAUUUUUGUUGAUAUGGGCUCUAACACACACAAAAAUUGGACCCUCAAAUUUUAUAUUUUGUUAAAACUUUUACUAAAUUUUACAAAAUUGGACCCUCUAAUAUGAUUUUAUAAUAAAAAUAAAAAUACAUAUGAAAAAAUUUGCGCCCUUUAUGAACUUUAGUGUCCUAAUCAUAUGCUAAUUAGUAUGUUAACUUAUAUUAAUUCUGAAACCCAAAACAAUGUAUAGUGUAUUGGAGAAGGACAAACAAUCGACGACCAAAAACACAUUUUAGUCUUCGAGCAUUGACUGUGAUCCAAUAUUCUCCUCCUUUGUAUUUUUGCUCAAGUGACAAACUAUCCACGCGACGACGACCAAGACUCAUUGUAGUCUUCUUCCACAGUCAUCGAUCUUUCUCUACAUAAUAAAACAAAUCUGUCCUUUUGGCUAUUUUCGUUUAUUUAAAGUUUAUAUCCAGCUGGUUUUGCAAACAUGCUCAAGUAAAUUAGUUCUCUACUUUUCUUUCUUGAAAAGAGCUUUCUACCACUUUUCUACUUCCCCCCUAUAUGCUAUAAUACUCUAUAUAUCUGUUUUAUAUUAAGAUUGUUUUAGUUGUUAAAAUUUAUUUUUCAAUUUUACUUAUAUUAUCUUAACUCAUUAAUAAACAUGAUCAAACAAAAUAAUGUAUUAUUUAGACACACAAAAAAAUUAAUGUGUUGUCAAAAAAAAAAUUAUUUGUAUGAAACAAUUUUAAACAUAUCACUUAAUAUGAAACAGAUACAACACUUAAUCGUUAUAUAUUAUAUAACAUAUGAAAUAUAAUAUUUUCACUGAUUUUCGAUCCUCGGUUUACUUUUAUCUCCAAUGGUGUUACUCAUCAUUGGAAUCCUUAACAAUAAAAUAAUAUAUUUUUUUUUAAUUUUUUUUGUUUGAAUAGUUAAGGACUCUAAUCAUAUUUGUUAGUCCAAUGGUGUUAUCCAUUAUAGAAUUCUUAGGAAUAAAAUAUAAUUAAAUUUGUAAAACAUUUAAUAAAUUUGUAAAACAUUAAAAAUAAGUAAAUUUGUAAAACAUUUAAAAAAUUUUAAAAGUAAAAAAAUUGUAAAAAAUAGUUUCUGUUACAUUGUUGGUUUUACUUAAAAGCAAACAUAAAGUUUCAGCGAAUGAACUAGCAAGGUUACGUCUCUCGAAACUAUAUCUCCAAGUUAUUACAACCACCAUAUAAGAUAAAAGGGAGGGUUGGUGUCAAAUUACUGCUUUCCUUACUUGCGGUUUAUCAUAUAUUUGAUCCAUGUGAGAGAGUACUAGUAGAGAAGCUUGUAAACAAACCUCUUGAUAUGAUCAAGUAUCAAAAGCCUUGCCCCUGGUGCUGGUGGAAUGUUUACUUCUUGCUCUGAUUGUUUCCUUCACCUGAAAGAAGAACAAAAACCCGUGCGUAGCAAACAGCCCAGGAGAGUGCGUGUGCAGGCCUUACUUUCAAGCCUUUGCUCACAAAAGCGUACGCCAACCCACCACCUGAGGCUGAGACCAUGCUGCAAAGUUUGUCAAAACCCAAUCAGAAACAACGUCUGUAACAGGUUUUCAUCAAAUCAAUAUCACCCAAAGAACAAAUCUUGAAGAUUCUCAGACAAGGAAAUAUAAACAGGGAUCAAAAAGUUGAGUGAAAAAAGAAUGAAACUUUACGCAGCCGUAAGAUCAUCUUUGCUUCUGAUUCC